CUUUAUGCUUUCUCGCACUUUCGAUAACAUUACGGAUGUCAUUUCUUGACAGGCUACUUCUAUUUUUUGUAUAAACUCGUUUCUACAAGGUGGCAGUGUCUACAAGGGGCUUCGAAGAUAGCCUUAUUCAACAUUUCAAAGCACAAGCAAUUGAUUUCACUUUAUUGCAAAAUCUAACACAUGAUUUAAUAAGAGAACUGAUUCCAACGAUUGGCUUAAGAAUGCGCUUCAUAACGAAAUGGAAAGAACAUUUUCGGAUCUCAAUUGAUGAACAUCAAGACGCGCGAUAAUUCUGACACCGCGAGCGAUAGUUCUUCAGAAUCAAAAGAA